AUGAAUGCAACGAGGCCUGGACUCGUCCACACCGCCGGCCAGGACCAGCGCUACGCGCUCAUGAAGGCCAACGUCGACGGCCUCAAGCCGCUCCAAGUCGGCAUCGCCGUCUGCGACCACCAAGGCCAGCAGGUCGCCUGGGAGUUCAACCUCCGCGACGUCUGCCGCCUCGCCGACGCGCACGAUGACAAGGCCCUCGACUACCUCGCCGAGCGCGGCCUCGACCUCGACACGCUCUGUAACCACAGUGUCGAUGCCUACAUGCUCGGCGCGCUGUCGUGGAUCACCUACGCCGGCGCCUACCACGUGACGUACCUCCUGAAUAUCGUCACGGGCGGCGCCCUGCUGCCGCACGACGUGGUCGGGUUCAUCGGCGCCAUGCAGUAUUACCUCGGCCAACAGGUCUAUGACGUUGCGACGAUGGCGGCCGGCUGCCCGGGCAUGCCGGUGGGGCUGGACCGCAUCGCCGCUAACCUACGCAUCCAUCCGCCGUGGGGGAGCCCUCGUUUUGCAGGCGCCGCCGGCGUGCGCGUGCUUCUGGCCUUCAGGAUUUUGAAGGACGGGCAGUUUGGCGGCAACGUGGAGAGGUUUCGAGGCCUACUUCAGGGCCUGCAACAUUAG
rnacentral:rRNA from 1 species